GGGCUCGAUCACCCAGUCUGCCCCAUAGCCGCUCAUCCACAAGAAGCCUCGCACCAUCCUGGACUGACUGACUGUGAGAUACGAUAAAAUGGUUAAAGUGAAGCAGGUUGUGUUAGUUUUCAUCGCCAUCAUCACCGCCGUGCUUGAUCACCGGGUUGCCUGGAGACAAGACGAGGACACAGACACAUGGGUUCCCCACAAACACCAGAUCUGCCAGGGAGGGCAGGUCAGCCAGCUUCACAAAUUCCGCUGCAACAUCAAGAGUCAACAGUGACCUUA